rnacentral:rRNA from 1 species
CUUUGAUGGAUGGCGACCGGCGCACGGGUGAGUAACACGUAUCCAACCUGCCGACAACACUGGGAUAGCCUUUCGAAAGAAAGAUUAAUACCGGAUGGCAUAGUUUUCCCGCAUGGGAUAAUUAUUAAAGAAUUUCGGUUGUCGAUGGGGAUGCGUUCCAUUAGGCAGUUGGCGGGGUAACGGCCCACCAAACCAACGAUGGAUAGGGGUUCUGAGAGGAAGGUCCCCCACAUUGGAACUGAGACACGGUCCAA